UUCCGGUUGAUCCUGCCGGACCUGACUGCUAUCGGAUUGAUACUAAGCCAUGCGAGUCAUUGUAGUAAUACAAGGCAUACGGCUCAGUAACGCGUAGUCAACCUAACCUAUGGACGGGAAUAACCUCGGGAAACUGAGUAUAAUGCCCGAUAGAACAUUAUGCCUGGAAUGGUUUAUGUUCCAAAUGAUUUAUCGCCGUAGGAUGGGACUGCGGCCUAUCAGUUUGUUGGUGAGGUAAUGGCCCACCAAGACUAUUACAGGUACGGGCUCUGAGAGGAGUAGCCCGGAGAUGGGUACUGAGACACGGACCCAGGCCCUAUGGGGCGCAGCAGGCGAGAAAACUUUGCAAUGUGCGAAAGCACGACAAGGUUAAUCCGAGUGGUUUCUGCUAAAGGAACCUUUUGUUAGUCCUAGAAACACUAACGAAUAAGGGGUGGGCAAGUUCUGGUGUCAGCCGCCGCGGUAAAACCAGCACCUCAAGUGGUCAGGAUGAUUAUUGGGCCUAAAGCAUCCGUAGCCGGCUCUGUAAGUUUUCGGUUAAAUCUGUACGCUCAACGUACAGGCUGCCGGGAAUACUGCAGAGCUAGGGAGUGGGGGAGGUAGACGGUACUCGGGAGGAAGGGGUAAAAUCCUUUGAUCUCUCGAUGACCACCUGUGGCGAAGGCGGUCUACCAGAACACGUCCGACGGUGAGGGAUGAAAGCUGGGGGAGCAAACCGGAUUAGAUACCCGGGUAGUCCCAGCUGUAAACUAUGCAAACUCAGUGAUGCAUUGACUUGUGGUCAAUGCAGUGCUGCAGGGAAGCCGUUAAGUUUGCCGCCUGGGAAAUACGUACGCAAGUAUGAAACUUAAAGGAAUUGGCGGGGGAGCACCACAAGGGGUGAAGCCUGCGGUUCAAUUGGAUUCAACGCCGGG
rnacentral:rRNA from 1 species